rnacentral:lncRNA from 1 species
GAGUCACGGGCCGCGCACACUGCACGUCUGACUGCACGGGCCCCUCGGGCCUGCACCUCCGCGGCCCGGAAGGGACGGAAGCCCCGCGUCCCCACCCCCACCCCGGGAGGGUCCCUGCGGCAGUUACGGGGGAGCAGCGAUAGCUGCCCUGGAGGUCGCAUUCCCACCCGGCCCCCGAGUUCUCCGGGAGAACUCCCCCGCAGCCUCGGCGGCAUCGCCUCCUCCAAUCUCCCCAGGAAUCGUGUUUCCCCCAACCCUGCCUCCGUGCGCGCCGGGGUGGCGGCGGGAUCCCGGUGCCGCCACCCCUCGGCCCCUCCGCCGCCGUGCGGGACCGCGAUGGGGGAGGGGACAGGCCCGGUUUCGGUGAGGGGGCUGGGGUCGGCCACGCCCUCUUCCCUGGCCCCAGGGUGGGGGCCGCGAGGAUGGCGGGGUCACCGGGCUGAACUCGCGCCUGUCUGACCUGCGGGGGUGUAGGCGGUGUGGACUGUGGACUGGAAGACGUCCUUAAAUUUUUAAAAAUAGUCUUGCCGUAUGGAGAAGAACACUGGAACCUUUAAGUCCGCAUCCCCUCGCCCGAUUCGGCUCGUCUUAGUCCAGAGUGUAACUCCAAACAUACUUAUUAAGAAACUGUUGCUUUAUUUUGACUCGUUUACAUAAAAUUUCCACUUUGGGGGGGAUGGCGGUGGGCUUGUGGAUUCCCUAAAAUAACUUUUAAUGGAGCGAAGCCUUCCAUUAUGGGAAGCGCCUAGACGCGGAGAGGCGUCUGGGGGCCUGGGUUGCCGUCACAGCCCUGCCACCAGCUGGCUGAGCGACCGGGGCACGUCGCUGCCCCCUCUGCCCGUGUUAGGAGAGUGGCCGCGGCGGGGCGACUGCACGAGCUGCCCCUAGGAUUGAAAGACAGAGGCUGUCUCUCCUUAACUUGCUUUGAUCCUGCAGAGAAGCAAAAUGGAGUGAGAUUAAAAAUAAAGAAGAUGCAAGCAGUUUGCUUUUCUGAAUGGUGUGCCUUCCGCCCCGCUCCAGUUGUAUUUAUCAUGCAGACAAGGUCAAGGUAACCUUCACGGUCUGGCCAGUUCCAUUAAGUACAGAGUGCCCUUUCACUAGGAGGAGACCUCCAUUGAGAACUUUACUUCCCACAUCACUCGGGAACCUUCAGGGCUUUGAAGGCUCCUACUCCAAAGGGUCAGGAGGGGAGAGGCCCGGAGGGAAUGCGAAGAGAGACUUUUCACAAAGGGAGAGAAGAAUGAAGGUGAACAGGCUCCCAGAGUGAAUGGGCAUUGGUCAGUGGGGCUUGCGGCCCUAUCUCCCCAGGGAGGGAGAAGAUCUGGGGAGGCAUGCCCCCAUCCCCAAGCCAAUGAGCUCCGGAAGCUCCUCCUGGAAAAGCUAAUUAUUGAGGAACAUUUUUAAGGCUCUUGAUUCAAAUCGUCUGCUGCUGUCCAGAAAGAUGACACCAACUUACACAUCCGAUAAGAAUGGAUGAAAUUAAAAUUCUGGGCCGGACGCGGUGGCUCACGCCUGUAAUCCCAGCACUUUGGGAGGCCAAGGCGGGCGGAUCACGAGGUCAGGAGAUCGAGACCAUCCUGGCUAAUGCGGUGAAACCCCGUCUCUACUAAAAAUACAAAAAAUUAGAUGGG